rnacentral:rRNA from 1 species
CAGCGCCACGGUAAUACAGAGGGUGCGAGCGUUAAUCGGAUUUACUGGGCGUAAAGCGUGCGUAGGCGGCUUCUUAAGUCGGAUGUGAAAUCCCUGAGCUUAACUUAGGAAUUGCAUUCGAUACUGGGAAGCUAGAGUAUGGGAGAGGAUGGUAGAAUUCCAGGUGUAGCGGUGAAAUGCGUAGAGAUCUGGAGGAAUACCGAUGGCGAAGGCAGCCAUCUGGCCUAAUACUGACGCUGAGGUACGAAAGCAUGGGGAGCAAACAGGAUUAGAUACCCGAGUAGUCCCUGUCUCUUAUACA